rnacentral:lncRNA from 7 species
CUUCGCAACAUGAAGGGGUGCCUCGGCAAGCGGCCAAGCGCCCAGUGUUCAACAUCGAGCGCCUCUCGACAAGCGUCGUGUCGCCAUGGAUGGGCUCGUUGCAGGUUGGGGGCCGGGACUCAUCUGCUCCGUGUGGGUUGACGCAUGCUGCAGCAUCUGUACCUGACGAGGCCAUGUCCAAGAUUGUGUGAUUGUACCAUGAUUUGUUCAAGAUCGUGAAGUCUGGAAUGCAAAGCUGGGAGCAUGAUUGUAGUGUGAUAUCAGAUGAAGCAUGAUUCUUUGUAGUAUUGCCAAUUUAGAUUGUAGCAAUAAUGCUAUUUUUCAGGAAUACAAAAGAAUGGAGCAGCUGAUUUAGUAACAAUAUAUGCUUUGUCAUUCACAAUUGAAAUUACUUUGCAGGUCUAGUUUGUUUGUAACAAAAUAUUCCAUGCAAG